UACAGAGGGGGCAAGCGUUAUUCGGAAUUAUUGGGCGUAAAGGGUGCGUAGGCGGGUCUUUUAAGUCAGGGGUGAAAUCCUGGAGCUCAACUCCAGAACUGCCUUUGAUACUGAGGAUCUUUGAGUACGGGGAGAGGUGAGUGGAACUGCGAGUGUAGAGGUGAAAAUUCGUAGAUAUUCGCAAGAACACCAGUGGCGAAGGCGGCUCACUGGCCCGAUACUGACGCUGAGGCACGAAAGCGUGGGGGAGGCAAACAGGG
rnacentral:rRNA from 1 species